AUUGAACGCUGGCGGCAGGCCUAACACAUGCAAGUCGAGCGGAGCUGCGGACGGGUGAGUAAUGCCUAGGAAUCUGCCUGGUCGUGGGGGAUAACGUCCGGAAACGGGCGCUAAUACCGCAUACUAUCAGAUGAGCCUAGGUCGGAUUGGCUAGUUGGUGGGGUAAAGGCCUACCAGGGCGACGAUCCGGAACUGGUCUGAGAGGAUGAUCAGUCAGACGGGAACUGAGACACGGUCCAGACUCCUACGGGAGGCAGCAGUGGGGAAUAGUGGACAAUGGGAGAAAGCCUGAUCCAGCCAUGCCGCGUGUGUGAAGAAGGUCUUCGGAUUGUAAAGCACUAUAAGUUGGGAGGCGUUACCAACAGAAGAAGCACCGGCUAACUUCGUGCCAGCAGCCGCGGUAAUAC
rnacentral:rRNA from 1 species